GGCAGCACAAGUGAUGACCGCUGUUAUUGGGCCUAAAGCGUCCGUAGCUGGCCAGACAAGUUCAUCGGGAAAUCUGUGCGCCUAACGCACAGGCGUCCGGUGGAAACUGCCUGGCUUGGGACCGGAAGACCUGAGGGGUACGUCUGGGGUAGGAGUGAAAUCCCGUAAUCCUGGACGGACCACCGGUGGCGAAAGCGCCUCAGGAAGACGGAUCCGACGGUGAGGGACGAAAGCUCGGGUCACGAACCGGAUUAGAUACCCGGGUAGUCCGAGCUGUAAACGAUGUCUGCUAGGUGUGACACAGGCUACGAGCCUGUGUUGUGCCGUAGGGAAGCCGUGAAGCAGACCGCCUGGGAAGUACGUCCGCAAGGAUGAAACUUAAAGGAAUUGGCGGGGGAGCACUACAACCGGAGGAGCCUGCGGUUUAAUUGGACUCAACGCCGGACAUCUCACCAGCAUCGACAGUGUGCAGUGACGGUCAGUGUGAUGAGCUUACCUGAGCCACUGAGAGGAGGUGCAUGGCCGCCGUCAGCUCGUACCGUGAGGCGUCCUGUUAAGUCAGGCAACGAGCGAGACCCGCAC
rnacentral:rRNA from 1 species